rnacentral:rRNA from 1 species
UUUGAAAUCUGGCGUCUUUGGCGUCCGAGUUGUAAUUUGAAGAAGGUAUCUUUGGGCCCGGCUCUUGUCUAUGUUCCUUGGAACAGGACGUCACAGAGGGUGAGAAUCCCGUGCGAUGAGAUGACCCGGGUCUGUGUAAAGUUCCUUCGACGAGUCGAGUUGUUUGGGAAUGCAGCUCUAAGUGGGUGGUAAAUUCCAUCUAAAGCUAAAUAUUGGCGAGAGACCGAUAGCGAACAAGUACAGUGAUGGAAAGAUGAAAAGAAGUUUGAAAAGAGAGUGAAAAAGUACGUGAAAUUGUUGAAAGGGAAGGGCUUGAGAUCAGACUUGGUAUUUUGCAUGCUGCUCUCUCGGGGGCGGCCGCUUCGGUUUACCGGGCCAGCAUCGGUUUGGAGCGGCAGGAUAAUGGCGGAGGAAUGUGGCACGGCUUCUGCUGUGUGUUAUAGCCUCUGACGAUACUGCCAGCCUAGACCGAGGACUGCGGUUUUUACCUAGGAUGUUGGCAUAAUGAUCUUAAGUCGCCCGUCUUGAAACACGGACCAAGGAGUCUAACGUCUAUGCGAGUGUUUGGGUGUAAAACCCGUACGCGUAAUGAAAGUGAACGAAGGUGGGGGCCCAUUAGGGUGCACCAUCGACCGAUCCUGAUGUGUUCGGAUGGAUUUGAGUAAGAGCAUAGCUGUUGGGACCCGAAAGAUGGUGAACUAUGCCUGAAUAGGGUGAAGCCAGAGGAAACUCUGGUGGAGGCUCGUAGCGGUUCUGACGU